CCUGUACCACCUAUAAUCGUUUUAAUCGAUGGGGGGACGCAGUAGGAUAGGCGAAGCGUGCGAUUGGAUUGCACGUCUAAGCAGUAAGGCUGAGUAUUAGGCAAAUCCGGUACUCAUUAAGGCUGAGCUGUGAUGGGGAGAAGACAUUGUGUCUUCGAGUCGUUGAUUUCACACUGCCGAGAAAAGCCUCUAGAUAGAAAAUAGGUGCCCGUACCGCAAACCGACACAGGUAGUCAAGAUGAGAAUUCUAAGGUGAGCGAGCGAACUCUCGUUAAGGAACUCGGCAAAAUGACCCCGUAACUUCGGGAGAAGGGGUGCUCUUUAGGGUUAACGCCCAGAAGAGCCGCAGUGAAUAGGCCCAAGCGACUGUUUAUCAAAAACACAGGUCUCUGCUAAACCGUAAGGUGAUGUAUAGGGGCUGACGCCUGCCCGGUGCUGGAAGGUUAAGAGGAGUGGUUAGCUUCUGCGAAGCUACGAAUCGAAGCCCCAGUAAACGGCGGCCGUAACUAUAACGGUCCUAAGGUAGCGAAAUUCCUUGUCGGGUAAGUUCCGACCCGCACGAAAGGCGUAACGAUUUGGGCACUGUCUCAACGAGAGACUCGGUGAAAUCAUAGUACCUGUGAAGAUGCAGGUUACCCGCGACAGGACGGAAAGACCCCGUGGAGCUUUACUGUAGCCUGAUAUUGAAAUUCGGCACAGCUUGUACAGGAUAGGUAGGAGCCUUUGAAACGUGAGCGCUAGCUUACGUGGAGGCGCUGGUGGGAUACUACCCUAGCUGUGUUGGCUUUCUAACCCGCACCACUUAUCGUGGUGGGAGACAGUGUCAGGCGGGCAGUUUGACUGGGGCGGUCGCCUCCUAAAAGGUAACGGAGGCGCUCAAAGGUUCCCUCAGAAUGGUUGGAAAUCAUUCAUAGAGUGUAAAGGCAUAAGGGAGCUUGACUGCGAGACCUACAAGUCGAGCAGGGUCGAAAGACGGACUUAGUGAUCCGGUGGUUCCGCAUGGAAGGGCCAUCGCUCAACGGAUAAAAGCUACCCCGGGGAUAACAGGCUUAUCUCCCCCAAGAGUUCACAUCGACGGGGAGGUUUGGCACCUCGAUGUCGGCUCAUCGCAUCCUGGGGCUGUAGUCGGUCCCAAGGGUUGGGCUGUUCGCCCAUUAAAGCGGUACGCGAGCUGGGUUCAGAACGUCGUGAGACAGUUCGGUCCCUAUCCGUCGUGGGCGUAGGAAAUUUGAGAGGAGCUGUCCUUAGUACGAGAGGACCGGGAUGGACAUACCUCUGGUGUACCAGUUGUCGUGCCAACGGCAUAGCUGGGUAGCUAUGUGUGGACGGGAUAAGUGCUGAAAGCAUCUAAGCAUGAAGCCCCCCUCAAGAUGAGAUUUCCCAACUUCGGUUAUAAGAUCCCUCAAAGAUGAUGAGGUUAAUAGGUUCGAGGUGGAAGCAUGGUGACAUGUGGAGCUGACGAAUACUAAUCGAUCGAAGACUUAAUCAA
rnacentral:rRNA from 1 species